UAAGACGAACCGUACAAACGUUAUUCGGAAUCACUGGGCUUAAAGGGUGCGUAGGCGGCGCUGAAAGUAGGGUGUGAAAUCCCUCGGCUCAACCGAGGAACUGCGCUCUAAACUACAGUGCUCGAGGGAGACAGAGGUGAGCGGAACUUAGGGUGGAGCGGUGAAAUGCGUUGAUAUCCUAAGGAACACCCGUGGCGAAAGCGGCUCACUGGGUCUCUUCUGACGCUGAGGCACGAAAGCCAGGGUAGCGAACGGGAUUAGAUACCCCGGUAGUCCUGGCCGUAAACGAUGAGCACUGAAUUGGAGGGUCCUCCAUAGCCUUCCAGUUGAAGCGAAAGUGUUAAGUGCUCCGCCUGGGGAGUAUGGUCGCAAGGCUG
rnacentral:rRNA from 1 species